AAACCUACCAACCGGGGAAAAUCGUAUGAAUACACACCAACAAACCGGGGAACACCUACCAACCGGGGAAUUCCCCGGUUGGUUUUAGGCGAAAAACUCUAAUCUACGUGAAUGAAAUACCAAACUGUCAAUUUAAAUUAGAAAUCCAACGCCUUCCCCGAUUAGCGGGUUUGUGGCAUGCACAAAAUAUACACAAAUCUUGACCAUAUUACAAUCGAGUGUGUAUCCAGGCUUAUAACAGUUCCCCGGUUGCGCUGUUUAAAAAUCAUACACUCGGUAUUUAUAUCAUUUAGUGAAAGUCAGUUGGAAAAAUGGAGUUUCGAGCGAACAAACGCAUUAAACUAAGGCAACACAAUGACUACUAGAUCUACGGACAGCCAGGAACCAGGACAAACAACAUCCGUACACACGGAAGAAGUCGAUGAGACGAGUACCGAAACUAAAGAACAUAGCGACACUGCACACGAGUACAAUUCACAAGAUGCAGCAGAAAAUAUGUUGAACAGUGAAUCAUCGGAUAUCGAUGAUAGUGACAAUGACAAAGACUAUAUUCCGGAAGAAGGCGAUGCAUCGUCAGAUGAGUCGAUAGUUGUCGAACUCAUACCAAACAUUCAAAGAUUUCAAAAGAAGACAGCGUCAACACUACCUCCUGUUGAAUCCUUGCAAUCUCGUGAACGUGACGAAUCAUCCGCAGAGGCACACAAAACCAACAUCACCAUCGCUUAAACAAAUAACAGUGAAUACAGACAUUACGAUAAGAGAUUUUAUUGCAUGUUUUGCGAAAAGGCUCAAACAAAACUAAAAAAAACAUUUGCUUUCGCAGCAUAAAGAUGGGCAAGAUGUGAAAGAUCUAUUAAAUACGGAAAAUUCAGCAGAAAAUAAAAAAAUGUAUGAUAAAAUAAGGAACGUUGGGAACCAUCUCCAUAAUGUUUAAGUAUUGUGAGAUGGCCAAGGACAGCUGUUUGUGUCAUACAGACAACGUCACAAUCAACGCGUAGCUGCAGACGAGUAUGGACCUUGUCCUUACUGUUACGGGUAUUACCCGAAGAAAAUCCUGUGGAGGCACACUCAAAAAUUUAAGUUUACAAAUGCGGCGGGAUCAAGAAAACGACUCGCUUUAGAGAGCAGCCUGCUAUUACCAAAAUCAAAAGAAGGAAGCACUAUUUUAAGACGAGAAAUCGAGUCCAUGAGAAACGACGAAAUAAGUCGCAAAGUCAAAAGUGAUAAUACAAUCCUUGCAUUCGGUGAAAAACUCUGUACAAAAAGGGGCCAUGAUGAAGAGCAACACAAUUAUAUUAGACAGAAGUUAAGAGAAGUUAGAUUGCUGAAAGACAUGCGAUCUUGUUCAGGCAAUGUUGAAAAGUCUUUGGAGAAUUUCAUGUAUCCCGAUGCUUUCAAAUUUAUUACACAAUCUUGCAAAAACGUUGCAGGCUUCGACGGAAACACCAAUACUUAUGCUACACCAUCAUUAGCCUUACAGAUUGGCACGCUUCAGAAAUGUCUAAAAAUUCUAAUUUCGAAAGGAAUCGAAACAAACAACCAGGAUCUGCAAACAAGGGCUGAGGAGCUUUCCAAACUAUUUCAAAUUAAUUGGACGGAUGACGUGUCUUCCAAUGCCUUAAGAACACUUCAUGAGGCUAAGCAGAACAGUCAGAAAGAACUGUUGCCAUUGGCAAAUGAUGUCAAAGUAAUGUCUGAAUACUUACGACAUAAAGCAGAAACACAUGCAAAUACCUUACAAGAAUCAGCAAGUAAUUGCGAGAAAAGGCAAGCAUGGCAUAAGUUGUCUGAAAGCUGCUUGUGUUUAAUCGAAACGAUCAGGCGAUGUGUCAAAAAUGACAGUCGAAGAAUAUUAAAAAAACAAAUCGACAAAUGACGAUGGAGAAUUAGAUGGAUGUUUAACAAAACUGGAAAAAAACCUGUGCCGUUAUUUUUACCGUACAGAGAUUAUUGCAAAACGAGGUCGAAAUAGCUGCAGUACUGUUUCCAAGACAGGUGAAAGAAAAUAUCGACCUGCUCAUACGCAGCAGAAAUUCUCUAACAAACUGUUUAAAUAGUAAAUAUCUUUUCCCAACAAAAUCUGCAUCAUCGCCUAUUCGUGGGACAGAUGUAUUACGUUCAAUUGCAAUUGACUGUGGAGCUGAACAUCCGAAAAGGCUUCGUUCUACAAAGUUAAGGAAACAUAUUGCCACAAUGACUCAGCUUUUUAACUUGUCUGAAAAUGAAAUAGACAUUCUAGCUAAAUUUCUUGGUCACGACAUUCGGGUACAUAGAGAAUUCUACAGAUUACCAGAUGGAACCAUGCAGGUUGCCAAAGUCAGCAAGCUGCUUAUGAUGAUGGAAAGUGGACAAAUUACCAGAAAUUCUGUCAAUUUGCUAGACGAUAUUGAUGUGGACGACGAAUGUAUUGUAGAAAAUGAAAAUACUGAAGACCUUGAAACUCUGCUUCCCAGCACCAGUCAACCAAAAAUAACAGACAAAGAAAAGGGUACUUCAAAUACCAGAAGAACAAAACAAGCAGCCAAAAAGCAACGGAGUGAAGACGAAAACAGGAGCUGUUCACAGACACUUAGAUCGUUUUUUGAUAAUUGGUAAAUUACCAGGGAAAAAAUCAUUACUUGCAUGUAUUGAAAGUGAGAAUGACCUUCACAACAGAAGUUGGAAAAAUGUCAAAGACUUUUGCAUAAAUUUAAUUGAAACAAAAAAGCGACGGGGACUUUUAACUUAAAAAAAUAUAACUCAUAUAAUGCACAUUUAGGAGAAUACGUUAAAGGAUGAAGUUGCCACAUGUGUUUUGUGUGUUUUCUUGUUCUAUAUACUCUUUUCGAAAACGAUAUAUGUGUGCUUAUUGUAUUUGAAUGUUUUAUUAAUACGGUUCAGUCAAACACGAUAUUUGUUCAUAAUCAUAUCGCCGAACCAAUUAGGAUUGGUAUAUAGUUCGGCCAAAGAGUGUUUCUUUGUACUUUCAAUUACGAGUUUCUACGAGUUACUCACUAUACAAGUUAUUUUUUACCCCAAACUUGGUGAAUAUGAAUGAAUAUAGCAAACAUGAUAGCAAAUCAAUCUAGAAGGCUAAACGUUCAGAGAAGGCACAAAAAAAUUCAGUCGGAUAAAUGGAAACAAACAUUUUGUUCAAGCAUAACAAACAAACACUUUUAGAUAUAAUAAGAUAAAUGUAAAUAACAUAAAAAAACUACUGCUAAACUACUACUACAAUGUGAAGAAUACAAAUGAAUAUUUUGUCAAUUUUACAAAAUUUGUUUUGAAUGACAGGUGUCUGACUUGCAGUUGAGUACUUAAUAGUUAUUUUAAAGUAAAAUUUUACCAAUAUGUAAAUUAUUGCGUAAAUAUCGCACUAGAAUUGAUUAAAUAGUUGUUAAAUAUUACAAUAAUUUCCUACACAGACUUUUGUGCAUUUGUUUUGCGUGUAGAUAUUCACAUUAACUAUCAAUUCACAUAUUUGCUUUGUGUAUAUAAUUGGUAUGUUCA